AAGAAUCAAUUAGAGUAUGACAAGUGGAUAGAUAAAAUCUACAACCCACAAUUAUCACACCAUCACUUAACGGUCAAUUUAACAGAUUAUGUAAGUAAUGUAUGACAUUGCAAUAUUUUAAGAGGGAUGCUAGCUACCUUUCCUUCUUACCUUUCCCUACUUGCCUUUUCUUAUUCAUUUCUUGUCAUGUGGAGUCUGUUUGUACCAUACUUGACCAAUCCCGAAACUACUGAGCACCAGUCAACGUUAUACCGUCAAGGACCCAGAAGUUUCCCUCCAACCAGGAAGCCAAUCAUAGCGCGACACGUGUCGACAUCAGAAGCUAAUCAUAGUGCGACAGAUGUCAAUGUCAGAAUGAAACUAGAAACUCUCUUCUAUAAAUAAAGAUCAUUCUCUCACAAUAUUUCCUAAUUGUACUAAAUCAUUCACUAGUACUCGCUAAAGGAGAGCUUGAACCUAUGUACUUGUGUAAACCCUUCACAUUAAUGAGAACUUCUCUACUCCGUGGACGUAGCCAAUCUGGGUGAACCACGUACAUCUUGUGUUUGCUUCCCUGUCCCUAUCCAUUUACUUACUUAUCCACACUAGUGACUGGAGCAAUCUAGCGAGGUCACAAACUUAACACUUUCUGUUGUACCAA
rnacentral:lncRNA from 1 species